UACGAAGGUUGCAAGCGUUACUCGGAAUUACUAGGCGUAAAGGGCAGGUAGGUGGUUUGGUAAGUCUAUUGUGAAGGCUCCCGGCUUAACUGGGAGAGGCCAAUGGAUACUGCCAAGCUUGAGUAUAGGAGAGGUUACUGGAAUUCCCGGUGUAGCGGUGAAAUGCGCAGAUAUCGGGAGGAACACCAAUGGCGAAAGCAGGUAACUGGACUAUUACUGACACUCAACUGCGAAAGCUAGGGGAGCAAACAGG
rnacentral:rRNA from 1 species